rnacentral:lncRNA from 1 species
UGCUGAGGAAUGCAGCUGGGAGGCUGCCAGCAAAUGCCAAGGGGCCUCUGGGUCCCAGGCUAGCACCCCACAGCACCCCACAGGGGCAGGCAGGCCUCCAGAGGCUCUCCUGGAAUCCAAAAAGCCACUUCCUCGCUAAGCCUCCGGUUUCCCGUCUGCAAAGUGGCGAUGAUCAUUCCUGCUGCCCUUCCUGACUGAGCUGUCUGAGGACCCAGGGUUCCAGGGGCAGGUCUCCCAGGAUGAGAUUUUGCUUUCUCUUGAAACCCAUGCGUUCCUAGAAUCUGUUCUGUGUUUCAUUGUAGGAGGCUCUGGCCAGGCCUGGGUGUGGCAGGAUAGAAAUGAAAGUUGUCCUGGCAACACACAAGAUUUCAUCAACAUUUCCAUCCCCAGCAGCUCCUGGGCCAAGCCUCAUCUUGCCCAGUGUGGCCUGUCAAGAUGACGGCCUGGAAGAGAAGCCAGACUGGGCAGCCAGGCCUCUGCCCCUCCCCUUGCCUGGUGGCACAGCCAGCACUGGCUCACUGGUGAGUUGACUAAUUUCCUCCGCCACCAUUAGUUGUCCAUGUUCAUUGCUGCCUGACACCCAACACCAGUCUGCAAGGGCACCAGGAGGGGAUGGAAGAGACAGGGUGUCUGGGGAAGGGGAAAGCUCACAACUCCUCACAGCGAUCUGGUAUCUUGAGCGUCAGUUUCUGGCCGAAACUGGGGGCUCCUGACUGAACUCCCUCCCACCUAGAAAACCUUCUGUGCAGUCUGAUUGCUCCAACACCCACAGAGCAGGAUUCAGGUAUCCCGGAGACCUUGGGAGGUCCCCAUCCAGAGGUCUGCUGUCCUGCCAGGCUUGGGGCAGCAGGGACUGGGACCCCACUCAGACCUCUCUGGGGCAAAUGUUUUGGUUCUCACAACAGCCCUAGUGAAAUCAAUCCUAGAUAC